ensembl:lncRNA
GACUUGUCCUGUCAGGCAAAUUGCUCUGACUGCAGAAGACAAAAGGCCAAGCAACAGAUGGGUAGGAAAGGAAGAGCACAAAACAGAAAGUCAACUCUACAAUCCUAGAAAACUGUGUUGAUGAGGGGUGAGUUUUCAUUGUGGCUUUGCAUAUUCUCAUAACAUUCCCAUCAGCUUAACUUCGCUUUUCCCUGCUGACUUUUUUUAUUCCCUUUUUUCUUUUCACUUUAUCUUUUAUCUGAAAAUUUCUUUUAUCUGAAAAAUUCUCCUGGAUUUUUUUUUUCUAAGAAGUAGUAAAUGUAAGAUCAUCCCUUCCACCAAAGUUUCUCUCUCACAGUGAAAUUCUGCCAUGUUACAUUUUAAUAAGCACAAUUGUACAGCCAUUGUAAAGAAGGAGAACAGGGAGAGGGAAGAAAGUAAAAAACCCUCACUGAUGGGAUUAAAAUAACACAAGCACAGGAAUCUUAUUCUGCUUUGUACUUUGGCUUUAGUGGAAGUUCCUCCUGCACAUUCCUUGCUUCCACUCUGCAUUUAUAUUGGGCAUCAUGCACGUCAAAUUGCAACCUGAUUAAAAAGGAAGCAUUAUUUAUUUAUAGAUUCGUGAAGUACUGGGUUAUGAAUGGUUUUAAACUAAAAGAAGGGCGAUUCAGAAUAGAUGUGGGCAUAACAUUUUUCACUGAGAGCAUGGUGAGGCAGUGGCACAGGCAGCCCAGAGAAGCUGUGGAUACCCCAUCCCUGGAGGCACUCAAGGCCAGGUUGGAUGAAGCCCUGGACAGCCUGAGCUGGUGGAUGGUAACCAGCCUGCGGCAGGGAGUUGAAACUAGGUGGGCUUUAAGGUCCAUUAUAACCCAAACCAUUGCAUGAUUCUAUGAUAUUGGAGAUAGAAAUCCUGCAAUUCUCUUUUUCACCCCUGUACAAAGGCAAGCCUUUUAUUAGAAAGAAAGCUCAGUGCAUAAUAAGGGAAGCAGCAAAUAUUUUUCUAACAGAUCUGACCUCACACCUUUGCUCAUAUUAAAUCUGAGCUGCAGUGAGGACACCUGCUGCAUUGUGCUAAUACAGUGCUAUAUUUUGUUUACUCAGAAGCAGUAGAGCCAUG